AGUGAACGCUGGCGGCAGGCCUAACACAUGCAAGUCGAACGACAACAUAGUAAGAGUUUGCCCCUAAGGGUGGCGAGUGGCGGACGGGUGAGAAAUACAUCAGAAACCAAUAUUUCGUGGGGGAUAACGGAGGGAAACUUAUGAUAAUACAGCAUAUGACCUACGGGUGAAAGCAAGGGUUCAACGGAGCUUGCGCGAUUGUAUGAGACGACGCCGGAUUAGCUAGUUGGGAAGGUAAAGGCACACCAAGGCAACGAUCCGUAGCGGGUCUGAGAGGAUGAUCAGCCACACUGGAACUGAGACACGGUCCAGACUCCUACGGGAGGCAGCAGUAGGGAAUCUUCGGCAAUGGGCGCAAGCCUGAUGCAGCCAUACCGCGUGAGUGAAGAAGGCCUUCGGAUUGUAAAACCCUUUUAUUAGGGAAGAACAACUGUGUAUGUAUCUCCCGAUGUUUUGACGGUACCCAAACAGUAAGCAACGGCUAACUACGUG
rnacentral:rRNA from 1 species